GGGGUUAUAGGGUAGUGGCAUCCUAACUGGCUCCAGACCAGUUGACCUGGGUUCGAAUCCCAGUAACCCCA
rnacentral:tRNA from 1 species